CAAAGUAAUUGCAAUUAGUAUUUUAAAAGGAAAUACAACAAAAAUACUAGCAAAAUGUUCUGUCUUGACAUUGAUAAAUACAUGCAAAGCUAAAACUGAUACAAUCCAAGAAGGUAAACAAUGUCAAUCUCUCCCAUUUGAAGAACCUUUGAAAAUCGCAAAUUUUUCAGACAAGUAGAAGGGAGAAAAAAUACAAAUCACGGCAACUCCAGGCGUAGUAGUUAUCGGAAACACAUCAAUCUCUUCAACCUUCUUCUCCAAAUUCCUUCGUGAAUCUGUCAUGCACUUCAAGGUCGGAUUUACUAACCGUUGGCCUUUGACGAGCAAGAACCUUAUCAAAAUCAGUCUUUGUAAUGGGUGGCGGGAUGAUCUGGGACGCGAGUCCUUUAGCAGCAAGUUCCUGCAUAGUUGUCUGCACAGCACCCCGUUGCUUCGGUCCGCAUGGAAUCCAGGUACCAUUAGAAGUUUGAGUAAAGAACACAGCAUCUUGUGUCUUACGUACAGGUUCAAAUAGCACGUCCUUGACACAAACAGAAACAUCUGAACCAGAAAAACCUUCUGUCUUACGGGCCAGGUCUUCAAAGUCACACUCGUUCAAGUUAUGGGGGGUAUCACCUAAAUGAACUUUGAACAUGUGUUGCCGUGCCUUCAAAUCAGGGAGCGGAAUGUAGAUACGCUUAUCAAAUCUUCGCCGUAUAGCCUGAUCUAGGGAAUAGGGUGUAUUUGUUGCCGCAAGUACAAGAACUUUAUCAUCAUUGUGACCAACACCCUGCAUCUGCACAAGGAGUUCUGUUUUAAUACGUCGAGAAGCUUCACUUUCAUUUCCUUCUCCUCGCUGCCCACACAAGGAAUCAAUUUCAUCAACAAAUAUAAUGGAUGGAGCGCUUUCUCGAGCCAUUUGGAAGAGGUUCGAAACUAGCUUUUCACUUUCACCCAUCCACUUGGAUACAAGGUCUGAUGACGAGACACUAAAAAAAGUGGAUUCCGCUUCAGUAGCAACAGCUUUCGCCAAGUAAGACUUUCCUGUCCCAGGAGGACCAUAAAGAAGAAAAGCUCUCCAUGGUCGCCUCUUUCCUGUGAAGAACUGAGGGAAUUUCACAGGCAAAAUGACAGCUUCCUGCAACGCCUGUUUAGCACUCUCCAAUCCAGCAACAUCAUUCCACUUCACAUUAGGU
rnacentral:misc_RNA from 1 species